UAACACACCCACUAUGCGCAGGCACUGGUUAGCACUGCUUAGGCAGACUGUGGCUUAGGCUUGAAUACUGCAAUGGAUCCUGAAGGUGCUGCAGGCUGUAAACUGACUGCCCUCCGUUUGGCACAUUCUCUCUAGAAGUAAGAUCUGAGAGGAGCUCCAUCAUGGCUGCCACAGAGACUCGGAGAAGUGAGAAGAGCUAGGCAGCUUCCUCUUUAUCCAAAGGAUGCCCUUCUACUAGAAUUGGUCCGAUGUUUUCCUCAUGGUGAGACUGGAGUUAUGGGUUUUGAAGAGGAAGAUUACAGAGUUAAGAGAUAUUACUAGCAGAAAGGAGAUACUCUAGCAAGACCUAUUCUUAUGUUUCCAUUUUGCAGGAGGCCGAGAAGAAGGAAGUGAUUCCAGAAAGGUAUCACCAUUCCUCAGUUACGAAACCCAAGUGAGACCACAAUAUCCUGACUUCCAGUCUAGAGCUAUCUGUAAUGCAAUAAAUCUCUUCACAGGAGCAUAUACACUGGGAACGGGAACUCUCACAGGAGACACUGCUCCCAAGUUCUUCCUGUCAGUACCCCACUGAGGUGUUGCUGCUGCAUGUCGACUUCCUGCUCCAAUGCCAUCCUUCUUCAAAGCCCAGGACUUCCAUCCUUCCACAGCAGGAUUAAAAGUGAUCUGUCCAGAGCCCCAUCCUCCAA
rnacentral:lncRNA from 1 species